CGUGGGUAACCUGCCCAAGAGAUCGGGAUAACACCUGGAAACAGAUGCUAAUACCGGAUAACAACGGAUGAUGCCUAUCAACUGUUUAAAAGAUGGUUCUGCUAUCACUCUUGGAUGGACCUGCGGUGCAUUAGCUAGUUGGUAGGGUAACGGCCUACCAAGGCGAUGAUGCAUAGCCGAGUUGAGAGACUGAUCGGCCACAUUGGGACUGAGACACGGCCCAAACUCCUACGGGAGGCAGCAGUG
rnacentral:rRNA from 1 species